UUUCCGUAGGUGAACCUGCGGAAGGAUCAUCAAAGAACAACGUUCUUUCUUUAACCACCCCUUUUUUGCAAUUUGUGUGGGCGUUUGGGAAAAAGUGAAAUUUUUUCACUCUUUUUCGACUCCCACACCUUUUUUUAGAAAAUAAGACCUCCUUUUUUAAACUUCCAAUAUACCAAAAUACAUAACCAAAGACAACUUUCAACAACGGAUCUCUUGGCUCUG
rnacentral:misc_RNA from 1 species